rnacentral:rRNA from 1 species
UGAGUGGCGGACGGGUGAGUAACGCGUGGGCAACCUGGCCUGUACAGGGGGAUAACACUUAGAAAUAGGUGCUAAUACCGCAUAACGGGGGAAGCCACAUGGCUUUUCCCUGAAAACUCCGGUGGUACAGGAUGGGCCCGCGUCUGAUUAGCCAGUUGGCAGGGUAACGGCCUACCAAAGCGACGAUCAGUAGCCGGCCUGAGAGGGCGGACGGCCACACUGGGGCUGAGACACGGCCCAGACUCCUACGGGAGGCAGCAG